AACGUAGGACGCAAGCGUUAUCCGGAGUUACUGGGCGUAAAGCGCGGGCAGGCGGCUCGAAACGUCUGAUGUGAAAUCUCCUCGCUCAACGGGGAGAGGCCAUUGGAAACGGUCGAGCUGGAGGGCAGUAGAGGUAGGCGGAAUUCCGGGUGGAGUGGUGAAAUGCGUAGAGAUCCGGAGGAACACCAGUGGCGAAGGCGGCUCACUGGCCCGAUACUGACGCUGAGGCACGAAAGCGUGGGGAGCGAACAGG
rnacentral:rRNA from 1 species